rnacentral:misc_RNA from 1 species
UACUCGGCGCGCUCUUUGCCG